GAUGAACGCUGGCGGCGCGCCUAACACAUGCAAGUCGAACGGCACCCACCUUCGGGUGGAAGCGAGUGGCGAACGGCUGAGUAACACGUGGAGAACCUGCCCCCUCCCCCGGGAUAGCCGCCCGAAAGGACGGGUAAUACCGGAUACCCCGGGGUGCCGCAUGGCACCCCGGCUAAAGCCCCGACGGGAGGGGAUGGCUCCGCGGCCCAUCAGGUAGACGGCGGGGUGACGGCCCACCGUGCCGACAACGGGUAGCCGGGUUGAGAGACCGACCGGCCAGAUUGGGACUGAGACACGGCCCAGACUCCUACGGGAGGCAGCAGUGGGGAAUCUUGCGCAAUGGGGGGAACCCUGACGCAGCGACGCCGCGUGCGGGACGGAGGCCUUCGGGUCGUAAACCGCUUUCAGCAGGGAAGAGUCAAGACUGUACCUGCAGAAGAAG
rnacentral:rRNA from 1 species